AAAAAUAAAAAAAGAAAAAAAAGAUCGGAAACUUUCUUUUUUUUUUUUUUUU
rnacentral:ribozyme from 11 species